rnacentral:rRNA from 1 species
UACGAAGGGGGCUAGCGUUGCUCGGAAUUACUGGGCGUAAAGCGCACGUAGGCGGGUUCUUAAGUCGGUGGUGAAAUCCUGGAGCUCAACUCCAGAACUGCCUUCGAAACUGGGAAUCUUGAGUCCGGGAGAGGUGAGUGGAACUGCGGAGUGUAGAGGUGAAAUUCGUAGAUAUUCGCAAGAACACCAGUGGCGAAGGCGGCUCACUGGCCCGGUACUGACGCUGAGGUGCGAAAGCGUGGGGAGCGAACAGG